GUUCCCUUCCUAUGGGUGACAGGGCAGGAGCUCUGCUUCAAAAGGACAAGUGGCAUGGGGAGGUACUGAAGCUUACAGAUGAAGGAGACCAAGGGGGAUGACGUUGGCUAAUAAGCCUUCGCAUGUAUGGUGGCAUGGGCACUACCACUCGUAAUGUCUGCUUGCCACACCUGUGGGACAGACUGGGGUUGUGGGACUGCGCUGGUGGAACUGACAAGCUCAGAAGGAAGAGGCUCUGCAGAGCAGUGACACUGCCAGGAAGGUGACCUUCCUCACAGGCCUCCAGGAAGGAGGUGGGAGGGGGGACGCUCUAAUGUGUCAAUGCCCUGGCAGAGUGGGGUGACUUCUAAACCCAGUGGAAGGCACCCAUUCCCUCCCUUGUGACCUGUCCUCCUGCAGUUCUGAAUGCCAGCACUGUCCUACCUGCUGGGAAUUCAGAGAACAGGGUUCCUGUCCUCAUGGGUCAGCAGCUAUGCCUGUGGGCACGCCUUAACGACCCUUAUUUUUUCUGGCACCGACUGUCUGGUGUCUUGGGGACAGUUAGGUGUGUGUGACUGUGAAGACCAACCAGUCAGAGCCUGGAUCAGCAAUCCUCAGUGAUUAGUGCACCUUCCUUCCUUCCUAUUGCCUCAGGGUGGACAGGUAGGAAACCCAACCAAUGGAUGAAGAGGUGGAGUGUCCCAGGAGACCACCGCGAAGAGAAAAGGAUGCAGAACAGCUGUGCCUGCUGCCAGGCUUGUGCCUCACCCCCACCCACAACCCCACCGCAGUGGCUGCCUGUGAGGAGAGCCAGUACAGAAGAAAGCAGAGAAGGCUGGAGAGUGUCCUGAAGACACUGUGCGAGCCCCUGGAGCCAAUGCCGCCUGAAGCUCUCAGGAUCCUCUUGGACCUCGAGCUCAGCCACAUGCAUUCCAUUUUUGCAUGACGGCUGAGUGUCUGGCAGGUGGUGAUUCCAUAAAGUCCACGACCUUGCAAACAGUUUUCCUUCGCUUUUCGGACAGAAGUUCUGAAAGGUUAAGUGGCUUGACCAAAGCUGCACAAGCAGCCAUAUGCAAUCUUACCAGCUCAAAGCCUACCCUCUUGCUACUAUUCCCAGGUGGCAUGCCUGUAGGACAGGUGAUGAACUGCAACUGAGAGAGGAAGGGAUUCUGUCCAGGACAGGCCUUCCUGAGAGGAUCCCACAAGAUAAUCACUGUCGAACCUGCUCCACCCUGAGGCAACAGGAAGGAAGGAAGUAUAUGUAGGUGGCACACUGGCAGUUGUUGCUAUCUCAACUUUUCUUUCUGCCAGCUUUAAAGAAACAGAAGAACCCUCAGGAAAGCCUGGGCAGUCUGCUCUCUACAGUCAGACAGGCUGGUCACACUGUGCAGGUGGCUCCACACAGUGGCGGUGUGCUGGACGCAAGUGGGAGCCCUGCUCAGAUGAGCCGGCCUCCCCAGCUCCGAAGGCAGGCAGCCAGGCAGCCAGCUUCUGUGUUUCCUGUGGUGGCCUCCGAGCUGGUGACCUGUGUGGCAGACUGAGGACAUGUCCCAGGUGAUGACCUGGGAUGUAUCCAGCUGCCAGCUCGACUUCCUCUGAACUGCUCCCUACCCUGAACCCCCACAGACUCUGAGCUCAAGUGGAUGACAUCUUGCGCUCCCAGAGGUACAGGAGGCCGGAAAUGAGAGCACAGGCAGCCAGGUCCCUGCAAGGAGCAGCUCAAGUAGAAUCGGGGAAGGCAACGAAUGGGAAAUGAACCAUGAAAACCAAGAAGCAGACCUCCAGCAAGCAGACAUGCCUGGGUUCCAGUGAGCUGCGCAUCCUGCUGCCCUCAGAGUUCACAGGUGAGGGAGAGUCAGCUCCGAGAGGAUACUUGGGCAACUACAGGGACGCAACUAAGCAGGAUCUGAACCCAGCCCCCUUGAUCUCCAGCCCUCAGGUGAGUGUGACAAGGGGACACUGGUGGCCCUCAUACCUACUAUGUGUUUUCCAGUCUCAGGCUCUGAACAGCAAGCCCUCCAUGUUCUAUCCAUUGGCGGGGGGGGGGGGGGGGGAGGUCCCUUACUAACCCAGGGAGUGGGGCUUACAAAAGGCCACAGAGCAAGUGUGAAUACCAUUGUAGAGAUCCUGCUAUUGGGCUAUUUGUGCAGAGUUAACAUAGCUGAGGGGCCUAUGUGGCUGUGUCACUCAUAGGACUGACCAGACCCAGUAGAGACCCUGGGUAUAGCUCUCAUCUAGGCAGCUGUUUCUAUUUGUGGGACCCAUGAGGAACACAGGAGCCACUGAAGGAGGGGUUCAUCUGAAGGCGAGUGAGUCAGCCUGUGCUAGAAGACUGGGAUGGGGCUAGCCAAGUUCACCUGUAACUCCAGCACUUGGGAGGCUGAGGCAAGAGAAGCCCUGUGAAUCUGCGGCCAGUCUGGACUAUACGGUGAGGUUUUCCCAGCUACACAUGGGAACUAACAACAGCGGCCAUCAUGGGUUAUUCUGAGGAGUAGCUGGCUCAUCACAAGGCACUGAACAUCAUCUAGCCAUAGUGGAUAUGGCCAAGCCACAGUUCUAGAAAUGGUGGCUCUUGGAGGAACUGGGUCAGGAUUUCAGCCUGGGCAUUCUGAUUCCAGAGGCUGCUGAUCUUCUGGACACCCACCACCACCACCACCACCACCACCACCACCAUGCCUCCCUGUGGCUCCCACUAGAACAAGGACAGCAGAGGAGACUGAAGGAGAGGAGACACGGAGGUCAAGGAUGCAGAUUUUCCAUCCAGCUCAAAAGAAGUGAGCCUGGGAUAACUGGCGUCCAUGGGAAGUGUUUGGUUCUUCACCAACUCUUAACGGACACAUUUUAAAUAUCGGAUAAUACAUUUUUAAAGCACAGCAGGUUCCCAUAACCCAACAAGAGCAACUCCAGAGAGACCCAAGGAAGCUCUGGAAUAAAAUUAUAGCUAACC
ensembl:processed_transcript 4631405J19Rik RIKEN cDNA 4631405J19 gene